rnacentral:rRNA from 1 species
AGCAGCCGCGGUAAUUCCAGCUCCAAUAGCGUAUAUUAAAGUUGUUGCAGUUAAAAAGCUCGUAGUUGAAUUUCGGGAUCAGUACGUUGGUCGUGCCUUAGGUACGUACUGGUGUUACUGGUUCCUACCUUCUGACGAACCAUCAUGUCAUUAAUUUGGUGUGGGCGGGGAAGUCAGGACUGUUACUUUAG